rnacentral:tRNA from 1 species
UGCUCGAUCGUCUAAUGGUAGGACCGCGGUUUCUGGAGCCGUUAAUUGGGGUUCGAGUCCCUGUCGAGCAACAA